CGCCUCUUGCCUCCCAUAAGAGGUCCAGCCUGCCCAGUGACUCUGUUCAACGGCCGCGGUAUCCUAACCGUGCGAAGGUAGCGUAAUCACUUGUUCUUUAAAUGAGGACUAGUAUGAAUGGCCCCACGAAGGCUACGCUGUCUCCUUUUUCUAAUCAAUGAAACUAAUCUCCUCGUGAAGAAGCGAGAAUAAUUUUAUAAGACGAGAAGACCCUAUGGAGCUUUAAACAACUGAAAAAUUGCAUACUUUCAUCUCCUACCUCCCGAGACUUUCCUUUUAUUCAAGCACUUUUAUUUCCAGUUUUAGGUUGGGGUGACCACGGAGCAAAAUUUAACCUCCACGACGAAAAAGGCCCUCUUUUAGCUAAAAGCUACUCCUUUAAGCAUCAGCAAACUGACUUCUUUUGACCCAAUAAAUUGAUCAACGAACCAAGUUACCCUAGGGAUAACAGCGCAAUCUACUUUAAGAGCUCAUAUCGACAGGUAGGUUUACGACCUCGAUGUUGGAUCAGGGUAUCCUAGUGGUGCAGCCGCUACUAAAGGUUCGUUUGUUCAACGAUUAAAACCCU
rnacentral:rRNA from 1 species